GACGAACGCUGGCGGCGUGCCUAAUACAUGCAAGUAGGACGCAGUUGCGAACGGGUGAGUAACGCGUAGGUAACUACCUAUUAGAGGGGUAUAACUAUUGGAAACGAUAGCUAAUACCGCAUACUAGUAGAUGGACCUGCGUUGUAUUAGCUAGUAGGUAGGGUAAUGGCCUACCUAGGCAACGAUACAUAGCCGACCGUGGAGGGGGAGCGGCCACAAUGGGACUGGGAGACGGCCCAGACUGCUACGGGAGGGAGCCGUAGGGAAUCUUCGGCAAUGGGGGGAAACCUGGCCGAGCAACGGCGCGUGGGUGAAGAAGGUUUUCGGAUCUGAAAGCUCUGUUGUGCAGGAAGCGGUACUUAACCAGAAAGGGACGGCUAACUACGUGCCAGCAGCCGCGGUAAUAC
rnacentral:rRNA from 1 species